AUUUUGAUUCUUCUGGACGGUGAAGAAGAAAAAUGAAAAAAAAAAAUGAAAUAAUAAUAUAAUAAUAAUAAAAAAAAAAAAAAAAAAAAAAAAAAAAAAAAUGAAAUAAUAUUGGUAUUUUGUCAACGCUCUUAUAGUAGUACUGUGAUUGCUGUUGAUUUCUGGAUAAGGGAGGAUGGAUAGAUAAAUGGACUGAAACUUCUAUGGAAAAUAAAAUAAGCUAGAGUGGGCCGUGUGGUGAAAGAUAGAGCCC
rnacentral:lncRNA from 1 species